CCAAUUCAGGCAAUAGUGUCUCUUUUCCGAGUUUUUCUGCCCAUUCAUCUCAACUGGAUUGAAGGGUCCAAUAGCCCAUUGCUUGUCUGAAUCGGUUAUUUUGGAUUUAACAUGGAGGUCAAGGUAUGGACCCUCUAUAGCUCUACAAGUGUUGAACAGGUAGCCAGAGCUAAUUGGCUUAAAAUCAUUUUGAAAUUUUACAAAGUCAGUCAGCUCUUGGGGGAAGCAACUUUCCCAUGUUGGAAGAUCUUCGAGUGGUUCGAGUAGUUCAGGCUGGGAUAGUUCAGGUUUCCCUUCUGGUUCCCCAAAAAACGAGUAUAUAGUGAAGGCUGAGGAGCUUGGAAAGCAGUAGGACUCUGCGUUCGGGAUUAAACGCACAUCCUGGAUGACAUAUGGCAUCAGAAAGUCAUAAAUAACUACCAAUCUUCUUGUUGUGCAAGAAAGUUGUUGCAGAAGUGCGUAAACUGGCUCACGGAGUUUGAUCGAUGCGUUGAAUGCUGGGAUGAGUUGUAUGGGAUAUUUUGUUGGGGCGUUUGGAUCCGGAGGAGGAGUUUCAUAAGAAGGGAUGGACAAUUCAUGGAAAUGGAUGUUGGAAAUGGCAAGAGGAUCCCAACCGUGGACACGAACCUUUGCCUGGCGGUUGUGAGAGGCCGUGCCAACAUAGUGAACAGGUAUAUCAUAGGCGGAGAUGAGGCGGGAGAGAUGGAGGAGCUGGUUGAGAUGGCCCUGUGCUGGAAGGGGAACCAUGACCACAGUCACUUCAUGAGUUUCUCGAAUAAUACCAACUGGGCUUUGGACUCUUGAAUGAUCAUCCAUGGCCAUUGGAAAGAUUUUGGAACUGGAAAUUUUGGAAAGCUCUUUUAUUUUGUCAGCUUGUUAGAAUUGCUUUGGUCGUUUGCUCUUAUAAGGUGUAAGAUGGAAGCUGGGGAGAGUCGUUAAUCGGAGUUGGAACUGUUGCUGGUAACUCUUCGGAUGUGUAAUAAUGUUACGGAUUAUUAUCACUUUACUCCCUCAACGUUUGGUGCUACUAUCAAUUUUACCCUUAACAUUAUUUUUUAGUCCCUUAACAUUAUCCAGAAGGUUGUGGAAGUAGUUUUUUUUAGUAAGUUCCGUCACAAUGAUAUCUUCAAGAUUGGAAAUUGCUUUGUCAGUGGAAGCCCGCAAUAUACGACUAGCCAUGCAAUGACAAGAAAACAUGAAAAAAAUAUUACUUUUAUUGUUUAUUUCGUAUCCAACAAAGAUUGAAUGAUGUAACAUUUCUUUGAUGAAUUGAAAACUGGUAGAUUACAUUUAUGCUGGAUGAAUUAGGUUUGAUUAUUUUUGGUUGGAAAAAGACAAAACGUCCAGCGGACUAUCGUGCCAAGCUCUGUUUUCAUCUCCAAAGAGCAUGUUCAUCACUUUAAUUGCCUGUUUGUUUUCUAAGAUUGCCAUUUCUCAAAAUUUUGAUAUUUAUCAGCUUUAACUUCUAAAGACAGUGGCAGAGGCAGGAUCUUUGGUUAGGUUUAAACUUACAAUGUAUUGAUUUGUAGAUUUUUAGAACAUUGUAUAUUCAUUAUACAAGCACGCUAAUUUGUUCAAUAACCAAUGUUACAAAAAUUGAACAAAAAAUCAAUAGCUCGUGAUUUUUUUUCGUUUGCUAGGUUAUUCUAAUCGUAUAAAAUGGUAUAGUAAUUAAAAUUAAGCAUUAGAAUACAAUAUUUAAAUUCUAAUACGUCUAGAAAGUGAAUAUUUUGUAUGCAAUCGAACCAUGAAAUGAAUACUUGGUUCACUUGUAAUUCAUGUGAUUUAACAUUAAGAAAAGUUCAAUAUUAAGUAAAUAGCAUAUGUAAGAAAGGAAAAAGCUAACAUCCUAUCAUAUAUUUUAGUUCAAUGUUUCAUUGUGGAAAUAUUGAAGGUAGUUUUAAAAAUUUUAAUACUUUUGGGGCACAGUCUGAGGGUUAGAAGGAAUACUAUCAAAAUUCACAAGGAGCAAGAGUGAGACAAAAAAUUUUAAAUUUUUUACAGAUUAUUUUACAGUUUCUAUUGAGGGAGUGGUCAGACUGCAUGUGGCUCUGCCACCGGCUAAAGAUGUCGAGAAGUUGAAGGCCGAAAGUCUUAAGAACUUGCAGCGUAAGAAAAAGGCAAAUUGGUUGGUUUUUGGGGUACUUCAUUUCAUGAAUGAUAGAGAGCCAAAUUCCUUUUGGCUACAUCAAAGUCUUCAUGAGGUUAUAGGAUUUAUAUCUUUUAAUAGCUAGGAAAUUACAAUGAAACAACAUUUUUAAAUUUAAUAAACCAAAUUGUCCGACCACUAGAUGCAUGUGGUUUUGUAAAGACUGCAUUUCGUCCAUCCUGACCGGUUGGAUGACAAUUUCCAGAUAAUGACGGAAUAAAAUAAGUUCAUCAAAUUAACAACGUACGUAGGACUAGGAGAAGGCCAAAACACAAACAUUAAAGUGCCUUCUACCUAGGACUGAUGAUGUUUUGUGUUUCUUUAUAUUUUGAAUCAUGCGGUGAACAAGUGAGGAUCAUGGAAUAGGAAGAGCCAAGUGUCUAAUUAAUCGAAAUUAGUACUAUUAGAAAGCUGGUCAGCUGCAGUUUACUGAAAAUUUCAUUGCAAUGGAUUUAACUUAAUAAGUUACAAUUUUUAUUACUCAGAAUUCCUGCUGAUUGAAGAACCUAAUGAUUUGGAUGAACUGAAAUCUACCUACGAAUAUGAGCAAUGAAAGAAUCCAUCUCCAAGCGACUUAGACCACCUUCCAUAACAGAUCCCUUGACAGCUUUGCUCAAUUCUCUGGCUCUUUGCCUCAUCUCUUCUCCUUCAGCUGAAUCCAUCAAUCUUCUCACAGCAUUUUCAACAGUUAUGGAUGUCACAAGUUCAUUCUGCUUCGACCAAUCCCUUACCUUUAGACCAAUCUUGAGCACCUUUUCCAGUAGUAUCGCGUUUCGGGGCUGGUCAGAAUGCAUAGGCCAUGCUGCCACGGGUACUCCCAUGCUAAUGCUUUCUAUGCACGAGUUCCAUCCGCAAUGACUCAUGAAUCCACCUGUUGAUGAAUGUCCAAGAAUCUCCAGUUGGGGCGCCCAAUCCCUCACAACAAUUCCCCUUCUUUCAAUUCUCUCUUCAAAUCCUUCUGGCAGCUGAGCCCUCCUAUCUUCUCCCUGGAAGACGUCUCCUUUAUCUGCAUCCCUCAGUACCCAUAUGAAUUUUUGCCCACUUUUAUCUAAUCCAGUUGCAAUCUCCUUGGCUUCUUCAUCAGACACCGAAGUUGUUGAACCAAAAGAAAUGAAAAUGACCGAAUCUGGCGCUUGUUUGUCCAGCCAAUCCAGGCAAUAGUGUCUCUUUUCCGAGUUUCUCUGCCCAUUCAUCUCAACUGGAUUGAAGGGUCCAAUAGCCCAUUGCUUGUCAGAGUCGGUUAUUUUGGAUUUAACAUGGAGGUCAAGGUAUGGACCCUCUAUAGCUCUACAACUGUUGAACAGGUAGCCGGAGCUAAUUGGCUUAAAAUCCUGUUGCAAUUUUGCAAAGUCAGUCAGCUCCUGGGGGAAGCAGCUUUCCCAUGUUGGAAGAUCAUCGAGUGGUUCGAGUAGUUCAGGCUCGGAUAGUCCAGGUUUCCCUUCUUGUUCCCAGACAAACGAGUAUAUAGUGAAGGCUGAGGUGCCUGGAGAGCAGUAGGACUCUGCGUUCGGGAUUAAACCCACAUCCUGGAUGACAUAUGCCAUCAGAGAGUCAUAAAUAACUACCAAUCUUCUUGAUGUGCCAGAAAGUUGUUGCAGAAGUGCGUAAACUGGCUCGCGGAGUUUGAUCGAUGUGUUGAACACUGGGAUGAGUUGUGUGGGAAAUUUUGUUGGGGCAUUUGGGUUGGGAGGAGGAGUUUCAUAAGAAGGGAUGGAAAAUUCAUGGAAAUGGAUGUUGGAAAUGGCAAGAGGAUCCCAACCGUGGACGCGAACCUUUGCCUGGCGGAUGUGAGAGGCCGUGCCGACAUAGUGAACAGGUAUAUCAUAGGAGGAGAUGAGGCGGGAGAGAUGGAGGAGCUGGUUGAGAUGGCCCUGUGCUGGAAGGGGAACUAUGACCACAGUCACUUCAUGGGUUUCUCGAAUAAUACCAACUGGCCUUUGGUAUUGGCUUUGAACUCUUGAAUGAUCAUCCAUGGCCAUUGGAAAGAUAAUUGGAACUGGGAAAUUUUGGAAAGCUCUUUUAUUUUGUCAGCUCGUUAGAAUUGAUUUGCUCGUUUGGUCCUGUAAGAAUUGAUGGAAGCUAGGGUCAUUAAUCGGAGUUAGAAUCUGUGGCUGGUAACUCUUCGGAUGUGUAAUAAUGUUGCGGGGCAACAUUUUCCAAUUCAUCCAAGUCUUGUGCGGUUUGACGAAAAUGAGCCCCGUACUCAAUCCAUUAUUGUGGGACAAGGGAGAAAAAUGCGAAAGUGACAAUGUUGUAGUAGGCCCUCCCCAAAUGUGUGUCAUAAAUUGAUGGAAUCUUCUCGAUAUGAGUGGCGGGUGUAAAAGAAAAAAAUAACUGUUCGAAUUUCGAAAUGUAAUUUGGCUUUUCCACUUUCUUCUGUUUUGUAAAAUCUUGUUAUUACGAGUGAAGAAUAGGAUAAGAUAGUAGAUUCAGUGGAUAAAAGGAACGUAAGUAAUUUGGGAAGCGUAUAAAAGAAAAGUAGAGUGACUUUAAACUCAUGAUCUCUUGUAUUUUGUCACUUAGUUGAAUUCUCUCGCAAGUGGUUUAACUUUUUUCAAGUUAAAUUUCGAAACCAUUAAAGAGUGAAAAUUUAAUAAUAGGAUAGGGGUGUGUGCCAUUGGAUUGUCCAUGAAAGCGCCAAGGGUAGGCAGGCUUACAACAUCUCUCAAAGAUCAAAAGAGAAAAAAGUUGCUAGUUGAAUGAGCGUGUAUUUCUGUUUGAAUUAACUAUUUUUGAGUGUGUUUUUGAAAAAUUUUAUGAUAUUAGUGUAUAUAAAAAAAAAUUUUGAGAUUUUUUUUUGAAUUUUAUAUAUUUGUAUAUUAUUAUAAUAUUAUAUUUAAAAAUUUUGUUUUUUAAAAACAAGCAAUCCAAACAGAGCGGCACUUUCCUCUUUCAUAGUCAUAAAUUCUUCACCUCUUACCCUUAAAAGGGAAAAAAAAAAAAAAAAAAACUUCCAUCCUUUAUCACCUUAUACAUAGAAAAAGGUAAAUUAAACUUUCAACCACAUCAAAGUCAAUGCCAGUACUUCUAAUAAAUUGUCUUCAGCAAAACUUAUCUACCACAGCAAACAAAAGUAUAGACUCGUCACUGUAAAUUGCCCGAAUUUGACUUUUCUUCAAUCAAAUAUCGUCCUUGAACAUGUGAGACACUUGAGAAUGAAAAUAAAAUCUCAUGUGCAAUUUCUCACUCAUUAACAUGAGCAUAGCUUUUAAGAACAACUUUUUCUUCUGAUGAGCGACUAGCUGAAACCCCUACCCGAAUUUCACUUAAACCACUUAAUUUUAAACAUUUUUUCCCAUCACUCCUUGCCAUACUAAUAUAUUUUGAGCUUUAGGACAACCAUUCACAAUUCUAUAGUUUUAUCAUUGAUUAAAUCUCUAUUUAUCUUGCUUCGAUUCAAUAACCUAUAGGAAUAACAAAUUCUCACGAGAUCCUUUUUUCUAAUCUCGUUUUUAACACCCUAAAUCCAUCUGACUUUUCAUGAUAAAAUUUAUGGUCCAAUCUUCACGAACUAAAUAUUGCGGGACCAAUUUUUGUGGCUUUGCUCGAUCAGAACUGUAUGUUAUCAAGUUCACAGCUCACCUCAACAUAGAGGAAUGAUACCUGAACUGUAUGUUAUCAAGUUCACAGCUCUAUGCAGUUGUUUUAUAUUUUUUUGGAGCACAAUACGCUACAUCGUUGUAUUUCUUAAAAAUAUUAAUAUACAUGAAUAAUAUAUAUGUAUAUAUAUAUAUAUAUAUAUAUAUAUAUAUAUAUAUUCGAUAUAAUGAUAUAAUGUGAUUGUAUACCAAAUAUUAUAACAAAUAUAGUAAUCGAGGAAUCGGAUUCAAUACAAUUGUACGUCCCCCAGAUUCAACGAUAACCAGAUGGGCCCAUUUUUCUGUUUUUUUACCCAAAGAAAAGUCGACUCAUUCUGACUAUUCUUCUUCAACCAAUUUAAAAAAUAAAUAUUUUUCACAAUGUUUUCCCAAAAUCAGCAUUAAAGAUAAUGACGGAAUAAAAUAAGUUCAUCAAAUUAACAACUUACGUAGGACUAGGAGAAGGCCAAGACACAAACAUUAAAGUGCUUCUACCUAGGACUGAUGAUGCUUGCUGUUUCUUUAUAUUUUGAAUCAUGUGGAGUAUCGAAUAAGAAGAGCUAAGUGUCUCAUUAAUCGAAAUUAAUACUAUUAGGAAGCUGGUCAGCCGCAGUUUUACUGAAAAUUUCAUUGCAAUUGACUUAAUAAGUUACAAUUUUAUUACUCAGAAUUCCUGCUGAUUGAAGAACCUAAUGAUUUGGAUGAGCUGAAAGUCUACCUACGGAUAUGAGCAAUGAAAGAAUCCAUCUCCAAGCGACUAACACCACCUUCCAUAACAGAGCCUUUGACAGCUUUGCUCAAUUCUCUGGCUCUUUGCCUCAUCUCUUCUCCUUCAGCUGAAUCCAUCAAUCUUCUCACAGCAUUUUCAACAGUAAUGGAUGUCACAAGUUCAUUCUGCUUUGACCAAUCCCUUAUUAUUAGACCAAUCUUGAGCACCUUUUCCAGUAGUAUCGCGUUUCUGGGCUGGUCAGAAUGCAUAGGCCAUGCUGCCACGGGUACUCCCAUGCUAAUGCUUUCUAUGCACGAGUUCCAUCCGCAAUGGCUCAUGAAUCCACCUGUUGAUGAAUGUCCAAGAAUCUCCAGUUGGGGGGCCCAAUCCCUCACAACUAUUCCUCUUCCUUCAGUUCUCUCUGCGAAUCCUUCAGGCAACUGAGCUCUCCUAUCUUCUCCCUGGAAGACAUCUCCUUUGUCUGCAUCCCUCAGUACCCAUAUAAAUUUUUGCCCGCUUUUGUCUAGCCCAAUUGCGAUCUCCUCGGCUUCUUCAUCUGAUAUUGAAGUUGUUGAACCAAAGGAAAUGAAAAUGACCGAGUUUGGCGCUUGUUUGUCCAGCCAAUCCAGGCAAUAGUGUCUCUUCUUCAAGUUUUUCUGUUCAUUCAUCUCUACUGGAUUGAAUGGACCAAUAGCCCAUUGCUUGUCCGAGUCAGUUAUUCCGGAUUUUGCAAGGAGGUCAAGGUAUGGACCCUCUAUAGCUCUACAAGUAUUGAACAGGGAGCCAGAGGUAAUUGGCUUGUUAUCAUGUUGCAAUUUUACAAAGUCCAUCAGCUCCUGGGGGAAGCAGCUUUCAAGUGUUGGAAGA
rnacentral:lncRNA from 1 species